rnacentral:tRNA from 1 species
CAGAGCGUAGCUUAAUAGGAUAGCGUCUCCCUUACACUGAGAAGACAUUUGUGCAAACCGAAUCGCCCUGA